rnacentral:rRNA from 1 species
UACGUAGGUGACAAGCGUUGUCCGGAUUUACUGGGCGUAAAGAGCGCGCAGGCGGUCGUUCAAGUCGAGUGUGAAAGCCCCCGGCUCAACUGGGGAGGGUCAUUCGAUACUGAUCGACUCGAAAGCAGGAGAGGGUAGUGGAAUUCCCGGUGUAGUGGUGGAAAUGCGUUGAGAUCGUGAGGAACGCCCGUGGCGAAAAGCGCGUCCCUGGACCCCACCUGACCGCUGAGGCGCGAAAGCCAGGGGAGCAAAACGGGGA